rnacentral:rRNA from 1 species
GAUGAACGCUGGCGGCGUGCCUAACACAUGCAAGUCGAGCGAAGCGGCGGACGGGUGAGUAACGCGUGGGUAACCUGCCCUGUACACACGGAUAACAUACCGAAAGGUAUGCUAAUACGAGAUAGUACAGGAUGGACCCGCGUCUGAUUAGCUAGUUGGUAGGUAACGGCUUACCAAGGCGACGAUCAGUAGCCGACCUGAGAGGGUGAUCGGCCACAUUGGAACUGAGACACGGUCCAAACUCCUACGGGAGGCAGCAGUGGGGAAUAUUGCACAAUGGGCGAAAGCCUGAUGCAGCAACGCCGCGUGAGCGAUGAAGGCCUUCGGGUCGUAAAGCUCUGUCCUCAAGGAAGCGGUACCUGAGGAGGAAGCCCCGGCUAACUACGUGCCAGCAGCCGCGGUAAUACGUAGGGGGCUAGCGUUAUCCGGAAUUACUGGGCGUAAAGGGUGCGUAGGUGGUUUCUUAAGUCAGAGGUGAAAGGCUACGGCUCAACCGUAGUAAGCCUUUGAAACUGGGGAACUUGAGUGCAGGAGAGGAGAGUGGAAUUCCUAGUGUAGCGGUGAAAUGCGUAGAUAUUAGGAGGAACACCAGUUGCGAAGGCGGCUCUCUGGACUGUAACUGACACUGAGGCACGAAAGCGUGGGGAGCAAACAGGAUUAGAUACCCUGGUAGUCCACGCCGUAAACGAUGAGUACUAGCUGUCGGACGGUGGCGCAGCUAACGCAUUAAGUACUCCGCCUGGGAAGUACGCUCGCAAGAGUGCAACU